UGAAAGUAUUUGCGCUAUAAAAGGAAUAAACCUUGAGACCCAGUCAUAUUGCUGCUCGACUUGGCGUGGGACAGACAAGAAGAAAAACAAUAAUAUGAAGGCUGUGGCUGUCUUCUUACUUGUAAUCGUGGCUGAAGUAUACUGUAGAGUCCCAUUGAAACCAUGGGUGCCUCCUGAUUGCCCCGGAGACUUGAAGUGGAGCAAUUGUUAUUCCGCCUGUCCGCACAUCUGUGGGGAGCCCGAAGGAUUUCCAAGGAGAUGCACUAUGCAGUGUGUCAUCGGAUGUGGCUGUCCUUACGGUCAAUAUCGGGUCUCGCGAGACAGCAACCGGUGUGUUCCCAACAAAGAGGCCUGUCCUAAAUCCAAAUAGAAGCCUAUACUGGGCACUGUCCAUCGCAAUGGCUUUUUUUU